UCGGGCCUGGCUGGGUGGUCUUGCCGCAAGGUAAGCACUGCUCUGGUCGGGUCUUUCCUUCUGGGGAACCAAUGUGCUCUUAAUUGAGUGCGUUGGGGAUCCAGGACUUUUACUUUGAAAAAAUUAGAGUGUUUAAAGCAGGCUUACGCUUGAAUACAUUAGCAUGGAAUAAUAGAAUAGGACUUUGGUUCUAUUUGUUGUCA
rnacentral:rRNA from 1 species